GACGUAGGGGGCCAGCGUUGUUCGGAAUUACUGGGUGUAAAGGGUUCGUAGGCGGUGUGGCAAGUCGGGAGUGAAAUCUCUGGGCUCAACCCAGAGACUGCUUCCGAAACUGCUGUGCUUGAGUGUGAGAGAGGCUCGUGGGAAUUGCAGGUGUAGCGGUGAAAUGCGUAGGAUAUCUGCAGGAACACCCGUGGCGAAAGCGGCGAGCUGGAUCACUACUGACGCUGGAGGAACGAAAGCUAGGGGAGCAAACAGG
rnacentral:rRNA from 1 species